GAUGAACGCUGGCGGCGUGCCUAAUACAUGCAAGUCGAGCGAACAGACGAGGAGCUUGCUCCUUUGACGUUAGCGGCGGACGGGUGAGUAACACGUAGGUAACCUACCUAUAAGACUGGGAUAACUUCGGGAAACCGGAGCUAAUACCGGAUAAUAUUUCGAACCGCAUGGUUCGAUAGUGAAAGAUGGCUUUGCUAUCACUUAUAGAUGGACCUGCGCCGUAUUAGCUAGUUGGUAAGGUAACGGCUUACCAAGGCAACGAUACGUAGACGACCUGAGAGGGUGAUCGGCCACACUGGAACUGAGCCACGGUCCAGACUCCUACGGGAGGCAGCAGUAGGGAAUCUUCCGCAAUGGGCGAAAGCCUGACGGAGCAACGCCGCGUGAGUGAUGAAGGUCUUCGGAUCGUAAAACUCUGUUAUGAGGGAAGAACAAACGUGUAAGUAACUGUGCACGUCCUGACGGUACCUAAUCAGAAAGCCACGGCUAACUACGUG
rnacentral:rRNA from 1 species